rnacentral:rRNA from 1 species
GAUGAACGCUAGCUACAGGCUUAACACAUGCAAGUCGAGGGGAAACGAUAUUGGAAGCUUGCUUCCGAUAGGCGUCGACCGGCGCACGGGUGAGUAACGCGUAUCCAACCUGCCCAUCACUUGGGGAUAACCUUGCGAAAGUAAGACUAAUACCCAAUGAUAUCUCUAGAAGACACCUGAAGGAGAUUAAAGAUUUAUCGGUGAUGGAUGGGGAUGCGUCUGAUUAGCUUGUUGGCGGGGUAACGGCCCACCAAGGCGACGAUCAGUAGGGGUUCUGAGAGGAAGGCCCCCCACAUUGGAACUGAGACACGGUCCAAACUCCUACGGGAGGCAGCAGUGAGGAAGAUUGGUCAAUGGGCGAGAGCCUGAACCAGCCAAGUAGCGUGCAGGAUGACGGCCCUAUGGGUUGUAAACUGCUUUUAUAAGGGAAUAAAGUGAGUCUCGUGAGACUUUUUGCAUGUACCUUAUGAAUAAGGACCGGCUAAUUCCGUGCCAGCCGCCGCGGUAA